rnacentral:sRNA from 1 species
GUGGCCCGCUAUGGCGGCGGUGUUGAGGUUGGGUCCGGGAUGCGGGGUCUUUGACUGAAGGGGUAGGCCAAGUGGAGGUAUCAGGGACGUCGCGCGGCACAGAAGAGGACCAGCCUGGACGCCGGGGACGCUGUCAUGUACGGCGCGAGCGGGGGCCGCGCCAAACCCGAGAGGAAAAGCGGCGCGAAGGAGGAGGCCGGGCCAGGCGGUGCCGGCGGUGGGGGCAGCCGAGUGGAGCUCUUGGUUUUCGGCUAUGCCUGCAAGCUGUUCCGGGACGACGAGCGGGCCCUGGCUCAGGAACAGGGACAGCACCUCAUCCCCUGGAUGGGGGACCACAAGAUCCUCAUCGACAGAUAUGAUGGACGUGGUCACCUGCAUGACCUUUCUGAGUACGAUGCUGAGUAUUCCACGUGGAACAGAGAUUAUCAGCUGUCUGAAGAGGAGGCGCGAAUAGAGGCCCUGUGUGAUGAAGAGAGGUAUUUAGCCUUGCAUACGGACUUGCUUGAGGAGGAGGCAAGGCAAGGUACUGCUCAAGACAAACUUACUUCAGCAACAAACUUUUUAAAAUUUUUAAGUAUUUAAAAAUUUACUCCCAUUCAUUUUUUUAUACUCACUCUUUCUGAUAUUAUCUUGACAGUACCCAGUGGAUUGGAAAAACAGGAGUCUUUGCGUUCUGAGAGGACCUCAGGAUAGUUUAUAUAUAGAGCCACAAAGAAUUUUCCCAGCUUUUGAGGGCAGACUGGGAUUUGAAAAAAACAAAAACCAAACUCUUUAACUG